rnacentral:rRNA from 1 species
ACUAAGCGUACACGGUGGAUGCCCUGGCAGUCAGAGGCGAUGAAGGACGUGCUAAUCUGCGAAAAGCGUCGGUAAGGUGAUAUGAACCGUUAUAACCGGCGAUGUCCGAAUGGGGAAACCCAGUGCAAUUCGUUGCACUAUCGUUAACUGAAUACAUAGGUUAACGAGGCGAACCGGGGGAACUGAAACAUCUAAGUACCCCGAGGAAAAGAAAUCAACCGAGAUUCCCCCAGUAGCGGCGAGCGAACGGGGAGCAGCCCAGAGUCUGAAUCAGCUUGUGUGUUAGUGGAACGGUCUGGAAAGUCCGACGGUACAGGGUGAUAGUCCCGUACACCAAAAUGCACAGGCUGUGAACUCGAAGAGUAGGGCGGGACACGUGGUAUCCUGUCUGAAUAUGGGGGGACCAUCCUCCAAGGCUAAAUACUCCUGACUGACCGAUAGUGAACCAGUACCGUGAGGGAAAGGCGAAAAGAACCCCGGCGAGGGGAGUGAAAAAGAACCUGAAACCGUGUACGUACAAGCAGUGGGAGCACCUUCGGGUGUGACUGCGUACCUUUUGUAUAAUGGGUCAGCGACUUAUAUUCUGUAGCAAGGUUAACCGUAUAGGGGAGCCGCAGGGAAACCGAGUCUUAACUGGGCGUUAAGUUGCAGGGUAUAGACCCGAAACCCGGUGAUCUAGCCAUGGGCAGGUUGAAGGUUGGGUAACACUAACUGGAGGACCGAACCGACUAAUGUUGAAAAAUUAGCGGAUGACUUGUGGCUGGGGGUGAAAGGCCAAUCAAACCGGGAGAUAGCUGGUUCUCCCCGAAAGCUAUUUAGGUAGCGCCUCGUGAAUUCAUCUUCGGGGGUAGAGCACUGUUUCGGCUAGGGGGUCAUCCCGACUUACCAACCCGAUGCAAACUACGAAUACCGAAGAAUGUUAUCACGGGAGACACACGGCGGGUGCUAACGUCCGUCGUGAAGAGGGAAACAACCCAGACCGCCAGCUAAGGUCCCAAAGUCAUGGUUAAGUGGGAAACGAUGUGGGAAGGCACAGACAGCCAGGAUGUUGGCUUAGAAGCAGCCAUCAUUUAAAGAAAGCGUAAUAGCUCACUGGUCGAGUCGGCCUGCGCGGAAGAUGUAACGGGGCUAAACCAUGCACCGAAGCUGCGGCAGCGACACUAUGUGUUGUUGGGUAGGGGAGCGUUCUGUAAGCCUGCGAAGGUGUGCUGUGAGGCAUGCUGGAGGUAUCAGAAGUGCGAAUGCUGACAUAAGUAACGAUAAAGCGGGUGAAAAGCCCGCUCGCCGGAAGACCAAGGGUUCCUGUCCAACGUUAAUCGGGGCAGGGUGAGUCGACCCCUAAGGCGAGGCCGAAAGGCGUAGUCGAUGGGAAACAGGUUAAUAUUCCUGUACUUGGUGUUACUGCGAAGGGGGGACGGAGAAGGCUAUGUUAGCCGGGCGACGGUUGUCCCGGUUUAAGCAUGUAGGCUGGUUGUCCAGGCAAAUCCGGAUAAUCAAGGCUGAGGUGUGAUGACGAGGCACUACGGUGCUGAAGUAACAAAUGCCCUGCUUCCAGGAAAAGCCUCUAAGCAUCAGGUAACAUCAAAUCGUACCCCAAACCGACACAGGUGGUCAGGUAGAGAAUACCAAGGCGCUUGAGAGAACUCGGGUGAAGGAACUAGGCAAAAUGGUGCCGUAACUUCGGGAGAAGGCACGCUGGUGUGUAGGUGAAGUCCCUGCGGAUGGAGCUGAGACCAGUCGAAGAUACCAGCUGGCUGCAACUGUUUAUUAAAAACACAGCACUGUGCAAACACGAAAGUGGACGUAUACGGUGUGACGCCUGCCCGGUGCCGGAAGGUUAAUUGAUGGGGUUAUCCGUAAGGAGAAGCUCUUGAUCGAAGCCCCGGUAAACGGCGGCCGUAACUAUAACGGUCCUAAGGUAGCGAAAUUCCUUGUCGGGUAAGUUCCGACCUGCACGAAUGGCGUAAUGAUGGCCAGGCUGUCUCCACCCGAGACUCAGUGAAAUUGAACUCGCUGUGAAGAUGCAGUGUACCCGCGGCAAGACGGAAAGACCCCGUGAACCUUUACUAUAGCUUGACACUGAACAUUGAGCCUUGAUGUGUAGGAUAGGUGGGAGGCUUUGAAGCGUGGACGCCAGUCUGCGUGGAGCCAACCUUGAAAUACCACCCUUUAAUGUUUGAUGUUCUAACGUUGGCCCCUUACCGGGGUUGCGGACAGUGUCUGGUGGGUAGUUUGACUGGGGCGGUCUCCUCCCAAAGCGUAACGGAGGAGCACGAAGGUUAGCUAAUCCUGGUCGGACAUCAGGAGGUUAGUGCAAUGGCAUAAGCUAGCUUGACUGCGAGCGUGACGGCGCGAGCAGGUGCGAAAGCAGGUCAUAGUGAUCCGGUGGUUCUGAAUGGAAGGGCCAUCGCUCAACGGAUAAAAGGUACUCCGGGGAUAACAGGCUGAUACCGCCCAAGAGUUCAUAUCGACGGCGGUGUUUGGCACCUCGAUGUCGGCUCAUCACAUCCUGGGGCUGAAGUAGGUCCCAAGGGUAUGGCUGUUCGCCAUUUAAAGUGGUACGCGAGCUGGGUUUAGAACGUCGUGAGACAGUUCGGUCCCUAUCUGCCGUGGGCGCUGGAGAAUUGAGGGGGGCUGCUCCUAGUACGAGAGGACCGGAGUGGACGCAUCACUGGUGUUCGGGUUGUCAUGCCAAUGGCACUGCCCGGUAGCUAAAUGCGGAAGAGAUAAGUGCUGAAAGCAUCUAAGCACGAAACUUGCCCCGAGAUGAGUUCUCCCUGAGACUUUAAGUCUCCUGAAGGAACGUUAAAGACGAUGACGUUGAUAGGCCGGGUGUGUAAGCGCAGCGAUGCGUUGAGCUAACCGGUACUAAUGAACCGUGAGGCUUAACC